rnacentral:hammerhead_ribozyme from 1 species
AUUCAGCUGACGAAUCCCAAAUAGGACGAAACGCGAAUCCCAGAU